rnacentral:rRNA from 1 species
GAUGAACGCUGGCGGCGUGCCUAAUACAUGCAAGUCAAGCGAACAGACGAGGAGCUUGCUCCUCUGACGUUAGCGGCGGACGGGUGAGUAACACGUGGAUAACCUACCUAUAAGACUGGGAUAACUUCGGGAAACCGGAUCUAAUACCGGAUAAUAUAUUUAACCGCAUGGUUCAAUAGUUAAAUACGGUUUUGCUGUCUCUUAUAGAUUGAUCCGCGCCGCAUUAGCUAGUUGGUAAGGUAACGGCUUACCAAGGCAACGAUGCGUAGCCGACCUGAGAGGGGGAUCGGACACACUGGAACUGAGACACGGUCCAGACUACUACGGGAGGCAGCAGUAGGGAAUAUUCCGCAAUGGGCGAAAGCUUGACGGAGCAACGCCGCGUGAGUGAUGAAGGUCUUCGGAUCGUAAAACUCUGUUAUUAGGGAAGAACAAAUGUGUAAGUAACUAUGCACGUCUUGACGGUAACUAAUCAGAAAGCCACGGCUAACUACGUG